UUUUUUAUAUUAUUUACAUGAUAGGUUAUUACAAGAUAUUUGUAUAGUCUCCUGUGUAUUCAGUAGGUACUUGUUUACCUAUUUUAUAUAUAGUCGUGUGUAUAUGCUAAAGCCAAACUCCUAGCUUAUCUUCCUUCUGCCACCUGCCCCACUUUGGUUAUCAUAAGUUUGUUUUCUAUAUAUGGCAUAUGUUUUUUGGGGGGCAGUUUUAAGACAAAGUAACAGAAGGAAUUUUAUUGCCUAGUGGUAUUUUUGACCUUGAUAUGCAGGAAGGUUCGGUCUGCAGACAUUAUGAUUCACCUGGAAAUCACAACAGAAACAGGACCCCAUCCCCUUUCCUGAAGAACUAAUCAUCAGACAACAAGCCAGGUCAAGAGCAAGGGAAACUAAGGAGUGGCAGCAAAUGGAGAUGAUUCUGGGACUGAUUCCUAAGACAGAUAAGGAUAACAAGUUAUGACAACAACAACCAAGUGUCCCUCACCAUCUGGUUCUACAAGGAUGAAGUCACCAGCCGCUGCAGUCGCUGACCUUAAUACACUCUGAAAGGAGUUCAGGGUGGAGGUCAGGAAUGACACACACUGUGUUCCAGGAAAACUGAUAGAACAGGUCUUCAGAUACUUAGAUGUUUCUAGGAGCAAAUUUUAUGAACCUGAUUUUUUGCAUCUUCUCAUACCUAGAAAAGCACUAAAGUCCUUAAUGGAGACAUCUGCUCCUCAUGACUAACAGCAUCCUUCUACCGAGAUGUGCGCUUAUUCAGUGCAUCCCCUCUUCACCAAAAUCAUAUGUGCACCGACCUCCCACCUUGGCUCUUUGGAACAGCUCCUCAGAGCUGUCCGAGAGGCUGUCUCCUGGGCUAUAGUCCUCAAUAAGUCCCCCAAUAAAUUUGAA